rnacentral:rRNA from 1 species
CAGUCGCCGCGGUAAUACGGAGGGUGCAAGCGUUAAUCGGAAUUACUGGGCGUAAAGCGCACGCAGGCGGUCUGUCAAGUCGGAUGUGAAAUCCCCGGGCUCAACCUGGGAACUGCAUCCGAAACUGGCAGGCUAGAGUCUUGUAGAGGGGGGUAGAAUUCCAGGUGUAGCGGUGAAAUGCGUAGAGAUCUGGAGGAAUACCGGUGGCGAAGGCGGCCCCCUGGACAAAGACUGACGCUCAGGUGCGAAAGCGUGGGGAGCAAACAGGAUUAGAUACCCCAGUAGUCCCUGUCUCUUAUAA